rnacentral:rRNA from 1 species
AUACGGAGGAUCCGAGCGUUAUCCGGAUUUAUUGGGUUUAAAGGGAGCGUAGGUGGAUUGUUAAGUCAGUUGUGAAAGUUUGCGGCUCAACCGUAAAAUUGCAGUUGAAACUGGCAGUCUUGGGUACAGUAGAGGUGGGCGGAAUUCGUGGUGUAGCGGUGAAAUGCUUAGAUAUCAAGAAGAACUCCGAUUGCGAAGGCAGCUCACUAGACUGUAACUGACACUGAUGCUCGAAAGUGUGGGUAUCAAAUAGGAUUAGAUACCCUGGUAGUCCACACAGUAAACGAUGAAUACUCGCUGUUUGCGAUAUACAGUAAGCGGCCAAGCGAAAGCAUUAAGUAUUCCACCUGGGGAGUACGCCGGCAACGGUGAAACUCAAAUGAAUUGACGGGG